CAUGUAGGCGGAUUAAUAAGUUUGAAGUGAAAUCCCAUAGCUUAACUAUAGAACUGCUUUGAAAACUGUUAAUCUAGAAUGUGGGAGAGGUAGAUGGAAUUUCUGGUGUAGGGGUAAAAUCCGUAGAGAUCAGAAGGAAUACCGAUUGCGAAGGCGAUCUACUGGAACAUUAUUGACGCUGAGAUGCGAAAGCGUGGGGAGCAAACA
rnacentral:rRNA from 1 species